rnacentral:lncRNA from 1 species
AACAUUUAGACACUUGUUCGUCCUGGGCCACUCUUCUCUUCAAAUCAGUAUGAUGUUCCUUCCUGCACGCUCUGCUAGGAGAUUUUUUUCCCUCCGUGUUAUUCCAGUGCUCUAUUCUUGUGCACUGAGCAAUAUUCUCCUCUGGGCUGCUUUCUCACUGAGGGCGAGGGGUUGCCUUAAAGUGCCAGCGAGUCCACUCUAUUCUGAGUCCCUCCUGCUGUGUGUUAUCAUUUGGAAACCCAGUGUCCAAAGUUGACUCAUGGGGCUGUAUCCUUUUGUAAUGCUCCCCAGGGAUGGUGUGUGUGUGCGUGUGUGCGUGUGUGUAUGAGAGNUGUGUGUGUGUGUGUGUGUGUGUGUGUGUGCGUGUGUAUGAGAAAGAGAGAGACUCUGUGUCAAACAGGUGUCUGUGUCUUUUUUUUUUUUUUUAAUCGGACCUUCUUGGAUGUUGAAUACUCUUCUUUCUGUUAUCAAUCAACUUGAUCACUGCUUUUCCCACUUCAGCCCAAAGUGUGCAGAACCGGCUUCCCCACUCAUUGGCAUGGACCUUGGGCCUGAUGCACUGUCCCUGCCAUCUCUGUAAGAGCCAAGCAUUUCGGUGAACAAGGGAAGGUCUGCUUUUCCUACACCUCGUGGAGAUUGGCCCCUGUUCUGGCCCCUCUGGAGUGAGAGGGUGGGGCCGGUGCUGGGAAGCCCCAAGUCUGGCAAGAGAGUCUGAUAAAUAGGCCAAGGGAAGGCCUGAGAAGGCGUCAGAAGCUGUUGUCAGCCCAGGAUGACUCAGAGGAACCUGUGAGGUCCGGGCUUCCUUCAGAAGAAUCUGGGAGAUCUCAGCCUCAAAUGCCAUGACCCUGUGUCCCUAGGUGACUUUCAGGAUGACCAGCAAAAGACAACACCCAAGGUCUCUUUGGGUCUGGGCUGCGGCCUGAGUAAUGACAACAUUUGAAAGCCCCUGGGGGAAGCAACUAGGUCCUCAAAAUAGGUGUGGACUGAGCCAUGGAUCUCAUAACCACUUGCUCGGAGCCCUCUCUGCUCCAUUCCUCCUGGGUCAUCGAGCCUCAGGAAGCAGAGGAAAUUCCACUGCAGGGCUGAGCUGUCAUGUCUGGAUUCCCGGACACAGAGCAAAGCCAAAGAAGAGC